rnacentral:rRNA from 1 species
AAGGUAGCAUAAUCAUUUGCCCUUUAAUUGUGGGCUGGAAUGAAUGGAUACACGAGAGAAUAGCUGUCUCUUUGUUAGAACUAAAAAUUAGCUUUUAGGUGAAGAGACCUGACUAUAAAUAAAGGACAAGAAGACCCUGUUGAGCUUUAUUUAGCAUAGGUCAUGUAUAGUUUGGCUUUUUAUAAAUUUGGUUGGGGCGACUGGGGAGUUCCUUUACUUCCUUUAUUUCUGGGCUAACAUGCCUUUAGAGAUCCAAAAACUGAUUUAAGGAAGAAGCUACCACAGGGAUAACAGGCUAAUUCUUCUAGAGAGUUCAUAUUGACAGGAGAGGUUGGCACCUCG